rnacentral:lncRNA from 13 species
GCUUGGCACACCUGUAUUUGGGGAGUUUCACCAUUCCUCUCUGCAGAUCCUCUCAAUCUCUGUCAGGUUGGACGGGGAGCGCCGCUGCACAGCUAUUAUCAGGUCUCUACAGAGAUGUUAGAUUGGGUUCAAGUCCGGUCCACUCAAGGACAUUCAGAGACUUGUCCAGACAUUCAAAGACUUGUCCAGAAGCCACUCCUGUGUUGUCUUGGCUGUGUGCCAAGACAACACAGGAUCGUUGUUCAGUUGGAAGGGGAACCUUCACCCCCAGUCUGAGGUCCUGAGGGCUCUGGAGCAGGUUUUCGUCAAGAAUCUCGCUGUACUUUGCUCUGUUCAUCUUUCCCUUAAUUCUGCCAUCACCAUGCUUCACCGUAGGGAUGGUGCCAGGUUUCCUCCAGAUGUGACGCUGCCAUCACCAUGCUUCACCGUAGGGAUGGUGCCAGGUUUCCUCCAGAUGUGACGCUGCCANNNNNNNNNNGUGACGCUGCCAUCACCAUGCUUCACCGUAGGGAUGGUGCCAGGUUUCCUCCAGAUGUGACGCUUGGCAUUCAGGCCAAAGAGUUCAAUCUUAGUUUCAUCAGACCAAAGAAUCUUGUUACUCAUGUUCUGACCACCCUGAAUUCCGUCUGGCCACUUUACCAUAAAGGCCUGAUUGGUGGAGUGCUGCAGCGAUGGCUGUCCUUCUGGAAGGCUCUUCCAUCUCCACAGAGGAUCUCUAGAUUUCUGUCAGAGUGCCCAUCGGNNNNNNNNNNGGAGGGCCUAUACCAGACUGCUGGAGGGCCUAUACCAGACUGCUGGAGGGCCUAUACCAGACUGCUGGAGGGCCUAUACCAGACUGCUGGAGGGCCUAUACCAGACUGCUGGAGGGCCUAUACCAGACUGCUGGAGGGCCUAUACCAGACUGCUGGAGGGCCUAUACCAGACUGCUGGAGGGCCUAGGCCUACAGUAGACUAGAUCUAGGCCUAUCUGGUCUCAAUAGAGACGUGUUGAGCUUUAAGAGAAACUUCUCCUUAUCUAAUUGCAGAAUUGGUUAGUGGUGGCAGAAUGACUACAGGAUAGUGGGUGUAUUACAAAGCAAGGAUCCAACCAACCGGUGAAUGGUUACAUUGUGGUUUUGUAGGAACCUGGGCCAUGCCACCCAGCCCACACCCAACAGAUAUGAUACGAGUACAUAGAAACCACAUUUAUAAAUCAACAAUAUAAGUCACUACAGACAUCUGGUUCGUAUGCACUGACACCAAAUACAAUUUAAACCUUGAUUUUUGCAGAGCAAUGGAUAUGACUUCAGUUCAGAAAGAAUGAAAUGUCAACUUUGAAAUCUCUGUUCCUCAAUAACAACCCAACAGCAGUGACCGACACGUAGGUCAACUAGUAGUUCAACUACUAGACAUUUUGCAGGUGGUAGCUGAACUACACUGAACACAAAUAGAAGAAACGCAACAUGUAAAGUGUUGGUCCCAUGUUUCAUGAGCUGAAAUUACAAAAAUCCCAGAAACGUUCCAUACCUGCAAAANNNNNNNNNNUCCAUCCUGUGUACAAUAACAGUCAACAGUUUGGACACCGACUCAUUCCACGGUUCUUCUUUAUUUGUACUGUUUUCUACAUUGUAGAAUAAUAGUGAAGACAUCAAACUAUGAUAUUACACAUGGAAUCAUUUAGUAAUUAAAAAAGGUGCGAUUGAUUUGCACUUUCCACACCAAAGUACGCUCAUCUCUAGGAGACAGAACGCGUCUCCUUCCUGAGCAGUAUGACGGCUGCGUGGUCCCAUGGUGUUUAUACUUGCGUACUGUUGUUUGUGCAGGUGAAUGUGGUACCUUCAGGCAUUUGGAAAUUGCUCCCAAGAAUGAACCAGACUUGUGGAGGUCUACAAUUUUUUUUCUGAGGUCUUGGCUGAUUUCUUUUGAUUUUCCCAUGAUGUUAAGCAAAUAGGCACUGAGUUUGAAGGUAGGUCUUGAAAUACAUCCACAGGUACAGCUCCAAUUGACUCAAAUUAUGUCUAAUAGCCUAUCAGAAGCUUCUAAAGCCAUUGCAUCAUUUUCUGGAAUUUUCCAAGCUGUUUAAAGGCAGUCAACUUAGUGUAUGUAAGCUUCUGACCCACUGGAAUUGUGAUACAGUGAAUUAUACGUGAAAUAAUCUGUCUGUAAACAAUUGUUGGAAAAAUGAUGCGCAAAGUAGAUGUCCUAACUGAUGUCCAAAACUAUAGUUUUGACUAUAAAUGUGUGGAGUGGUUGAAAAACGAGUUU